GAUGAACGCUGGCGGCGUGCUUAACACAUGCAAGUCGAACGGUGAAGGCGGAGCUUGCUCUGCUGGAUCAGUGGCGAACGGGUGAGUAACACGUGAGCAAUCUGCCCCUGACUCUGGGAUAAGCGCUGGAAACGGCGUCUAAUACUGGAUACGAGCUGCGAAGGCAUCUUCAGCAGCUGGAAAGAAUUUCGGUCAGGGAUGAGCUCGCGGCCUAUCAGCUUGUUGGUGAGGUAAUGGCUCACCAAGUCGUCGACGGGUAGCCGGCCUGAGAGGGUGACCGGCCACACUGGGACUGAGACACGGCCCAGACUCCUACGGGAGGCAGCAGUGGGGAAUAUUGCACAAUGGGCGAAAGCCUGAUGCAGCAACGCCGCGUGAGGAACGACGGCCUUCGGGUUGUAAACCUCUUUUAGCAGGGAAGAAGCGAAAGUGACGGUACCUGCAGAAAAAGCGCCGGCUAACUACGUG
rnacentral:rRNA from 1 species